rnacentral:lncRNA from 1 species
ACAGCUGCUUCCUGCCCCUGGGUCAGAUGGGUCAGGUGGAGGGGCCGUGGUUAUCUGCAGGUCACUGGUUCUCACUGUGGCCACACAUUGGACUCUGCUGGGGUCCGCUAGCUGGUGACAGAACGGGACGGCACUGGUGGACCUGCAUCUGGGUCCUGAGGCCUCUCUGGCGUGGGGAGCUCCUAGGAGAGACACACACAGCAUGGAUUCCCAGAGCCUCCCACCUGGAGAGUCUGAAGACCCCCCAGGAGCAGGCUACAAACUGCAAAUCAAAUAAUUCAUGUGGGAAAACUGCAAGUCCGACCUCACAUCAGGAAGUGAC